UGGCUCAGAUUGAACGCUGGCGGCAGGCCUAACACAUGCAAGUCGAGCGGAUGACGGGAGCUUGCUCCUUGAUUCAGCGGCGGACGGGUGAGUAAUGCCUAGGAAUCUGCCUGGUAGUGGGGGACAACGUUUCGAAAGGAACGCUAAUACCGCAUACGUCCUACGGGAGAAAGCAGGGGACCUUCGGGCCUUGCGCUAUCAGAUGAGCCUAGGUCGGAUUAGCUAGUUGGUGGGGUAAUGGCUCACCAAGGCGACGAUCCGUAACUGGUCUGAGAGGAUGAUCAGUCACACUGGAACUGAGACACGGUCCAGACUCCUACGGGAGGCAGCAGUGGGGAAUAUUGGACAAUGGGCGAAAGCCUGAUCCAGCCAUGCCGCGUGUGUGAAGAAGGUCUUCGGAUUGUAAAGCACUUUAAGUUGGGAGGAAGGGCAGUAAGUUAAUACCUUGCUGUUUUGACGUUACCGACAGAAUAAGCACCGGCUAACUCUGUGCCAGCAGCCGCGGUAAUACAGAGGGUGCAAGCGUUAAUCGGAAUUACUGGGCGUAAAGCGCGCGUAGGUGGUUUGUUAAGUUGGAUGUGAAAGCCCCGGGCUCAACCUGGGAACUGCAUCCAAAACUGGCAAGCUAGAGUACGGUAGAGGGUGGUGGAAUUUCCUGUGUAGCGGUGAAAUGCGUAGAUAUAGGAAGGAACACCAGUGGCGAAGGCGACCACCUGGACUGAUACUGACACUGA
rnacentral:rRNA from 1 species